rnacentral:rRNA from 1 species
GUGAGGAAUAUUGGUCAAUGGGCGGGAGCCUGAACCAGCCAAGUCGCGUGAAGGAAGAAGGAUCUAUGGUUCGUAAACUUCUUUUGCAGGGGAAUAAAGUGCAGGACGUGUCCUGUUUUGUAUGUACCCUGAGAAUAAGGAUCGGCUAACUCCGUGCCAGCAGCCGCGGUAAUACGGAGGAUCCGAGCGUUAUCCGGAGUUAUUGGGUUUAAAGGGUGCGUAGGUGGUUUGAUAAGUCAGCGGUGAAAGUUUGCAGCUUAACUGUAAAAAUGCCGUUGAAACUGUCGGACUUGAGUGUAAAUGAGGUAGGCGGAAUGCGUGGUGUAGCGGUGAAAUGCAUAGAUAUCACGCAGAACUCCGAUUGCGAAGGCAGCUUACUAAGCUACAACUGACACUGAAGCACGAAAGCGUGGGGAUCAAACAGGAUUAGAUACCCUAGUAGUCC